AGAGUUUGAUCAUGGCUCAGGACGAACGCUGGCGGCGUGCUUAACACAUGCAAGUCGAACGGGCACUUCGGUGCUAGUGGCGAACGGGUGAGUAAAGCGCAGGUAAUCUGCCGCAAAGUUGGGGACAACGUUCCGAAAGGGACGCUAAUACCGAAUGUUGUGUGGGAUUCGCAUGAAUUCUACAUUAAAGAUUUAUCGCUUUGCGAGGAGCCUGCGUCCGAUUAGGUAGUUGGUGGGGUAAAAGCCUACCAAGCCGACGAUCGGUAGCCGGUCUGAGAGGAUGAACGGUCACAAUGGAACUGAGACACGGUCCAUACUCCUACGGGAGGCAGCAGUGGGGAAAAUUCCACAAUGGGGGAAACCCUGAUGGAGCGACGCCGCGUGAGUGAAGAAGGGCUUCGGCUCGUAAAGCUCUUUUCACGUUGACGAAUUGGUAUUGGAUACAGUUGACGGUAGACGUGGAAUAAGCCACGGCUAACUACGUGCCAGCAGCCGCGGUAAUACGUAGGGGGCGAGCGUUGUCCGGAAUGAUUGGGCGUAAAGGGCGCGUAGGCGGCCCGGUAAGUCUGGAGUGAAAGUCCUGCUUUUAAGGUGGGAAUUGCUUUGGAUACUGUCGGGCUUGAGUGCAGGAGAGGUAAGUGGAAUUCCCAGUGUAGCGGUGAAAUGCGUAGAGAUUGGGAGGAACACCAGUGGCGAAGGCGACUUACUGGACUGUAACUGACGCUGAGGCGCGAAAGUGUGGGGAGCAAACAGGAUUAGAUACCCUGGUAGUCCACACUGUAAACGAUGAAUGCUAGGUGUAGGGGGUAUCGACCCCUUCUGUGCCGCAGUUAACACAAUAAGCAUUCCGCCUGGGGAGUACGGCCGCAAGGUUGAAACUCAAAGGAAUUGACGGGGGCCCGCACAAGCAGCGGAGCAUGUGGUUUAAUUCGACGCAACGCGAAGAACCUUACCAGGUCUUGACAUCCACUUAAAGCCAUAGAGAUAUGGUGUGAGCUUGCUCGAAGUGAGACAGGUGGUGCAUGGUUGUCGUCAGCUCGUGUCGUGAGAUGUUGGGUUAAGUCCCGCAACGAGCGCAACCCUUAUUUUCAGUUACUAACACGCAGAGGUGAGGACUCUGAAGAGACUGCCGGGGACAACUCGGAGGAAGGUGGGGACGACGUCAAAUCAUCAUGCCCCUUAUGACCUGGGCUACACACGUGCUACAAUGGCCACCACAGAGAGGAGCGAACCCGCAAGGGGGAGCGGAUCUCAAAAAAGUGGUCCCAGUUCGGAUUGUGGGCUGCAACCCGCCCACAUGAAGUCGGAGUUGCUAGUAAUCGCGGAUCAGCAUGCCGCGGUGAAUACGUUCCCGGGCCUUGUACACACCGCCCGUCACACCAUGGGAGUUGGGAGUGCCCAAAGUCGGUGAGGUAACCGCAAGGAGCCAGCCGCCUAAGGCAAGACCAAUGACUGGGGUGAAGUCGUAACAAGGUAAC
rnacentral:rRNA from 1 species